GCGCGAUGUUUGAAGAGACCUGAGACCGGUUGAUGAUGCACGCGAUGGAUUUGGAAAACAUCAUGAAACGGUGUUCAUGGAGUUCUACAGGAUUGUGGGCAAGAAUCUCAAGCAAUCAUCUAAUUGAGAUAUUUCAGUCUAAAGAGGGGAUGUUGGGCAGCUGUUGACAGCUUUCACAACAAAUCAAGACUAAAGAGCCGACUGAUACUAGGUUUCUGGUGCUCAGAGGGCUCCCUUUUGCCCUUUGUGACAACACUACAGAUUUCUACAAAGUAUGCUUUGUAAGUAACCACUGUUUUCUCUCAGAAUAUCUAACAGGACAUAAAACAAUCAUUUCACCAUUAAUUGAUAGUUCCUGUGUUUUAUAAAACCUCUGAGAAUAAAACAUAAACCAUUAACUUAAUACAAUAGCCCUUUUAACCUCUUUGGGUGAUCUGUUUGUUUAAAGGGUUAGUUCAUCCAAUAUUUGCUCAACCUCAUGUUGUUACAAACCCUUUAGAAUUCAUUUUUGAAAUACCAAUUUUAAGGAUAGUUCACCCAAAAUAUAUAUAUUUUUAAAGUAAUAUUUAAACUUUAAACAAGAUUUUUAGCUGAAACUGUGGUCAUUGGUAAUUGAUAUAAAUCAAUCAAUGGAAAUCGU